AGUCAGCAAUCGUAGCGACGUUCUCGUCCGAGUGUAUCAGAUCAAACUGUGCUUUUGAAUAAUGUCAUUUCGUGGCAUCA
rnacentral:snoRNA from 1 species